rfam:Triticum aestivum genome assembly, contig: Triticum_aestivum_CS42_TGACv1_scaffold_249668_3DL
AAUCUACUCUUUCUGUCCGGAAAUACUUGUCGAAGAAAUGGAUGUAUCUAGAUGUAUUUUAGUUCUAGAUACAUCCAUUUUAUCUAUUGUUGCGACAAGUAAUUCCGGACAAAGGGAGUAUAUG